rnacentral:rRNA from 1 species
UACGGAGGGGGCAAGCGUUGUUCGGAGUCACUGGGCGUAAAGGGCGCGUAGGCGGUGCAUCAAGUCAGGCGUGAAAGCCCCGGGCUUAACCUGGGAAUUGCGCUUGAUACUGAUGCGCUAGAGAGCGGGAGAGGAUGGCGGAAUUCCCAGUGUAGAGGUGAAAUUCGUAGAUAUUCGCAAGAACACCAGUGGCGAAGGCGGCUCACUGGCCCGAUACUGACGCUGAGGCACGAAAGCGUGGGGAGCAAACAGG